rnacentral:rRNA from 1 species
UACAGAGGGUGCAAGCGUUAAUCGGAAUUACUGGGCGUAAAGGGUGCGUAGGUGGUUGUUUAAGUCAGAUGUGAAAGCCCUGGGCUCAACCUAGGAAUUGCAUUUGAAACUGGGCAGCUAGAGUGUGGUAGAGGGAAGUGGAAUUUCCGGUGUAGCGGUGAAAUGCGUAGAUAUCGGAAGGAACACCAGUGGCGAAGGCGACUUCCUGGACCAUAACUGACACUGAGGCACGACAGCGUGGGGAGCAAACAGG